GAUGAACGCUGGCGGCGUGCCUAAUACAUGCAAGUCGAGCGAACGGACGAGAAGCUUGCUUCUCUGAUGUUAGCGGCGGACGGGUGAGUAACACGUGGAUAACCUACCUAUAAGACUGGGAUAACUUCGGGAAACCGGAGCUAAUACCGGAUAAUAUUUUGAACCGCAUGGUUCAAAAGUGAAAGACGGUCUUGCUGUCACUUAUAGAUGGAUCCGCGCUGCAUUAGCUAGUUGGUAAGGUAACGGCUUACCAAGGCAACGAUGCAUAGCCGACCGGAGAGGGGGAGCGGCUCAACGAGAAGGGAGACGCGACCCGGCCUAAGGGGGGGGGCGAGGGAGGGGAGUGGUAUGCAGGGGGAGAAGGGCGGGAGGGGCAACGCGGAGUGGGGGAGAAGGUGCUUGGGAUAGUAAAACUUUGUUAUUGGGAAAGAAGAUAUGUGUAAGUAACGGGGCACAUUUUGACGGUACCUAAUGAGAAAGCACCGGCUAACUCCGUG
rnacentral:rRNA from 1 species